AGAGUUGAUCCUGGCUCAGAAUGAACGCUGGCGGCGUGCUUAACACAUGCAAGUCGCACGAGAACACCUCAGCUUGCUGGGGUAAGUAAAGUGGCGCACGGGUGAGUAACGCGUGGGUAAUCUGCCCUCGAAUCUGGGAUAACCCCGCGAAAGCGGGGCUAAUACCGGAUGAAAUCCAGUUAGCUUUGGCUAUAUGGAUCAAAGGUGGCCUCUGCAUGCAAGCUACUGUUUGGGGAUGAGCCCGCGUACCAUUAGCUUGUUGGUGGGGUAAAGGCCCACCAAGGCGACGAUGGUUAGCUGGUCUGAGAGGAUGAUCAGCCACACUGGAACUGGAACACGGUCCAGACUCCUACGGGAGGCAGCAGUGAGGAAUUUUGCGCAAUGGGGGUAACCCUGACGCAGCAACGCCGCGUGAGUGAUGAAGGCCUUCGGGUCGUAAAGCUCUGUCAAGUGGGAAGAACCCAUUCCGGCACAACAAGCCGGGGUGCUGACGGUACCACUGAAGGAAGCACCGGCUAACUCCGUGCCAGCAGCCGCGGUAAUACGGAGGGUGCGAGCGUUAUUCGGAAUUACUGGGCGUAAAGGGCGCGUAGGCGGCCGAUUAAGUCAGAUGUGAAAUCCCGGGGCUUACCCCCGGAAGUGCAUUUGAUACUGAACGGCUUGAGUAUGGGAGAGGGAAGUGGAAUUCCUGGUGUAGCGGUGAAAUGCGUAGAUAUCAGGAGGAACACCGGUGGCGAAGGCGACUUCCUGGACCAAUACUGACGCUGAGGCGCGAAGGCGUGGGGAGCAAACCGGAUUAGAUACCCUGGUAGUCCACGCAGUAAACGGUGAUCACUACGUGUAGCGGGUAUUGACCCCUGC
rnacentral:rRNA from 1 species